rnacentral:rRNA from 1 species
AGCGUAAUAGCUCACUGGUCGAGUCGGCCUGCGCGGAAGAUGUAACGGGGCUAAACCAUGCACCGAAGCUGCGGCAGCGACGCUUAUGCGUUGUUGGGUAGGGGAGCGUUCUGUAAGCCUGCGAAGGUGUGCUGUGAGGCAUGCUGGAGGUAUCAGAAGUGCGAAUGCUGACAUAAGUAACGAUAAAGCGGGUGAAAAGCCCGCUCGCCGGAAGACCAAGGGUUCCUGUCCAACGUUAAUCGGGGCAGGGUGAGUCGACCCCUAAGGCGAGGCCGAAAGGCGUAGUCGAUGGGAAACAGGUUAAUAUUCCUGUACUUGGUGUUACUGCGAAGGGGGGACGGAGAAGGCUAUGUCGGCCGGGCGACGGUUGUCCCGGUUUAAGCGUGUAGGCUGACUUUCCAGGCAAAUCCGGAAAGUUAAGGCUGAGGCGUGAUGACGAGGCACUACGGUGCUGAAGUGACAAAUGCCCUGCUUCCAGGAAAAGCCUCUAAGCAUCAGGUAACAUCAAAUCGUACCCCAAACCGACACAGGUGGUCAGGUAGAGAAUACCAAGGCGCUUGAGAGAACUCGGGUGAAGGAACUAGGCAAAAUGGUGCCGUAACUUCGGGAGAAGGCACGCUGACAUGUAGGUGAAGCCCCUGCGGGUGGAGCUGAAGUCAGUCGAAGAUACCAGCUGGCUGCAACUGUUUAUUAAAAACACAGCACUGUGCAAACACGAAAGUGGACGUAUACGGUGUGACGCCUGCCCGGUGCCGGAAGGUUAAUUGAUGGGGUUAUCGCAAGAGAAGCUCCUGAUCGAAGCCCCGGUAAACGGCGGCCGUAACUAUAACGGUCCUAAGGUAGCGAAAUUCCUUGUCGGGUAAGUUCCGACCUGCACGAAUGGCGUAAUGAUGGCCAGGCUGUCUCCACCCGAGACUCAGUGAAAUUGAACUCGCUGUGAAGAUGCAGUGUACCCGCGGCAAGACGGAAAGACCCCGUGAACCUUUACUACAGCUUGACACUGAACAUUGAGCCUUGAUGUGUAGGAUAGGUGGGAGGCUUUGAAGCGUGGACGCCAGUCUGCGUGGAGCCGACCUUGAAAUACCACCCUUUAAUGUUUGAUGUUCUAACCUGGCGCCGUGAUCCGGCGUGGGGACAGUGUCUGGUGGGUAGUUUGACUGGGGCGGUCUCCUCCCAAAGUGUAACGGAGGAGCACGAAGGUCAGCUAAUCCUGGUCGGACAUCAGGAGGUUAGUGCAAUGGCAUAAGCUGGCUUGACUGCGAGAGUGACGGCUCGAGCAGGUGCGAAAGCAGGUCAUAGUGAUCCGGUGGU